UGCAAGUCGAGCGGUAGAGAGAAGCUUGCUUCUCUUGAGAGCGGCGGACGGGUGAGUAAUGCCUAGGAAUCUGCCUGGUAGUGGGGGAUAACGUUCGGAAACGGACGCUAAUACCGCAUACGUCCUACGGGAGAAAGCAGGGGACCUUCGGGCCUUGCGCUAUCAGAUGAGCCUAGGUCGGAUUAGCUAGUUGGUGAGGUAAUGGCUCACCAAGGCGACGAUCCGUAACUGGUCUGAGAGGACGAUCAGUCACACUGGAACUGAGACACGGUCCAGACUCCUACGGGAGGCAGCAGUGGGGAAUAUUGGACAAUGGGCGAAAGCCUGAUCCAGCCAUGCCGCGUGUGUGAAGAAGGUCUUCGGAUUGUAAAGCACUUUAAGUUGGGAGGAAGGGCAGUAAAUUAAUACUUUGCUGUUUUGACGUUACCGACAGAAUAAGCACCGGCUAACUCUGUGCCAGCAGCCGCGGUAAU
rnacentral:rRNA from 1 species